GAUGAACGCUGGCGGCGUGCCUAAUACAUGCAAGUCGAGCGAACUUUUGGGAGCUUGCUCCCAAAAGUUAGCGGCGGACGGGUGAGUAACACGUGGGUAACCUGCCUGUAAGACUGGGAUAACUUCGGGAAACCGGAGCUAAUACCGGAUAACAUUGAAGAAAAAAUGGACUUUAAUUAAAAGGUGGAGUUGAGUGAAUAGUUAAAGAGGGAGAACUGGCGCAUUAGCUAGUGGGGGAGGUAACGGCUCACCAAGGCGACGAUGCGUAGCCGACCGGAGAGGGUGAUCGGCCACACUGGGACUGAGACACGGCCCAGACUCCUACGGGAGGCAGCAGGAGGUAAUCUUCCUCAAUAUACCAAAUUCUCACACACCAACCCCCCUGGAUCGAAUAAGGCCUUCGGGUCGUAAAGAUCUGUUGUUAGGGAAGAACAAAGAUCAUUCUAAUAUUUCACUACCUUAACUUUCCCUCACCAGAAAGCCACGGCUAACUACCUG
rnacentral:rRNA from 1 species